ACAUCGAUAGCUCAGUGGCAGAGCGGUGGGCGUUUUACGCGGCCCGGGUUCGAUUCCCGGUCGAUGUA